rnacentral:lncRNA from 1 species
CGACGCCGCGCGGGCGGCGGGCGGGUGUCGGGCGAGUCUGGGCGGCGUCGGGAGGGACCGGCGAGCGGGGAGGGGCGGAGGCGGGGGGGAGGGGGGAGGAGGAAGAGCGAAGGGUCCUGGCGGGGCUCCCGGCGCCCAGCCGCCCGGGCCCGAGCCCUCAAGCCACCGCCCCCAGGCCCCGCGCAGACGCUGGACGGUCCCCGCCUCCAAACCCCCCGCCCCGGCCAGAGAAUAACUUACCUGUUUGCCGACGGAAUCGCUCCUGCUAGCCCCUCUGACUGACUCCUCCGGCUCACCGUCUUCCCUCUGGGAGGAAGGGGAGGGACUUCCUGCCUCUUUUGAGCGACUUCCGGCGGCUCCCCGGACGACUCUGUCGUGGUCCGAGCACUGGACACCACGACCGAAAAACAGGAUCUCGGAACUGGCCUAGUAAAACCCACAUCGAAUUCCCUUUUCCUGCCCCGAGUGGCCAGCGGACCGUAUGCCGUCUUGUUUUUGUCCAUCAGCUCUUGGCAGAAGUCCCUCGGAGAUGAAACCGGAAGUCCCACCCCUCCCCAAGUGGAAAACGGAAAGCCGAAGGAGUCAACCGAAGGAAGGGGAGACGCGCGUCAGGCUGAGAGCCUGGCGGCGUGUGACCGGGAAGGCCACCUGGGACUUCCAGCGGCUCCCCGAGCGGGUAACCCCCGGGCGAUCCCGCCUCCUCCCUCUCCAUCUCUCCUCACUCCACCCCUUCGCCCGCCCGCGUUCCAUCAUCCAUUAUUUUGCUGAAAGAGGACCUUUACAUCAUAAUGUGACAUUAAGGAAGUCAAUUUGACCUCAUUUUCCUCAUGUAUUAAAUGAGUUAUUUAGGAUGAGAAAAAUGAAGCUCAAAGAAGUGACGUAUUAUUCCCUAGUUCUGCCUGUACUGGCUAACUUUGGUGACUGUUUGCCUCUCUGAUGUCCCACGCUUACUCUCCCACACACACUGCUCCUGCUAAUCUGGCCCUGUGGCCAGGAUGUAGUCCCAGUAAAGAGACUCCCUGGCAAGAGGGAGAUGCUGCACAGACAAGGCGCCAGAACUUCACUCCCACAUCGUCUCCAUAUCAAAGCAGCAUUUUCAAACACACAGAGAAUGUUGAGAAACAUUGAAUAUGUCUGUUUGUCUCAUAUCAAAGAGGCCUAUCAGGAGUUACAGUUUAGUUAGCCUAAAUAUAAAACCUGUUUUAAUGAGAACUAUAUACAUUUUAUGUCUAAUUAGCCAAUUAAUUUGCUAUUCCUGCAUGAAAUUUACAAAACUUGCUAAGAGAAAAAUUUAGAAUGGAGAUGCCUAAUAGGAACUGAAUUAAACUAUCGUGGUUUAAACACAAAGUGGUCUGGGGUGGUGAACAUGAAGUAAUCUACACAGAAUUUGAAGUAUAUUACGAUGUACACCUGAAAUUUAUACAAUGUUAUAAACCAAUGCUACUGCAAUUAAAAAAAAUUUUUUUUUAAACAAAGUGUUACAGCUUUUUUAACUCUAUG